UACGUAGGGUGCAAGCGUUAAUCGGAAUUACUGGGCGUAAAGCGUGCGCAGGCGGUUUUGUGAGACAGGCGUGAAAUCCCCGGGCUUAACCUGGGAAUGGCGCUUGUGACUGCAAAGCUGGAGUGCGGCAGAGGGGGAUGGAAUUCCGCGUGUAGCAGUGAAAUGCGUAGAUAUGCGGAGGAACACCGAUGGCGAAGGCAAUCCCCUGGGCCUGCACUGACGCUCAUGCACGAAAGCGUGGGGAGCAAACAGG
rnacentral:rRNA from 1 species